rnacentral:rRNA from 1 species
GUGAUCAAAGACAACUUCAUUCCACCCGAUGCAGACGCCAUUCUGAAUAUCCCAAUAAGGACUGGUGGUGGUGAUGAUAUUUUGGCAUGGGCUUUUGAAAAGUUAGGUUCAUAUACUGUUAACUCAGCUUAUCGUGCUCUCAUGACUCAGAAUGAGCAAUUGGCUCUAGAGGAAGGGACGGUAGUCGAAGCAUCAACAACAGAAAAACAGCUAUGGACCACAUUAUGGAAAUUGAAGGUUCUGCCAAAAGUGAGAGUGUUUUGGUGGAGGGUUUUACGAGGUAUCUUACUAGUAGAAUCAACACUAAAGUAUCGACAUAUUGCAACAGUGAGCAAGUGCAAAAUAUGUCAGCAUGAAGAUUAG